rnacentral:rRNA from 1 species
UACGUAGGGAGCAAGCGUUAUCCGGAUUUAUUGGGUGUGAAGGGUGCGUAGACGGGAAGGCAAGUUGGUUGUGAAAUCCCUCGGCUUAACUGAGGAACUGCAACCAAAACUAUCUUUCUUGAGUGCUGGAGGGGAAAGUGGAAUUCCUAGUGUAGCGGUGAAAUGCGUAGAUAUUAGGAGGAACACCAGUGGCGAAGGCGACUUUCUGGACAGUAACUGACGUUGAGGCACGAAAGUGUGGGGAGCAAAUAGG